rnacentral:rRNA from 1 species
GAUGAACGCUAGCGGCAGGCUUAAUACAUGCAAGUCGAGGGGUAACAGUUAAGUAGCAAUACUUGAGCUGACGACCGGCAAACGGGUGCGGAACACGUGCGAAACCUUCCCUUAUCUGGGGGAUAGCCCGAAGAAAUUCGGAUUAAUACCCCAUAAAAUAUUAGAGUGGCAUCACUUAAAUAUUAAAACUCCGGUGGAUGAGGAUGGUCGCGCGUAUGAUUAGGUAGUUGGCGGGGUAACGGCCCACCAAGCCUACGAUCAUUAGCUGAUGUGAGAGCAUGAUCAGCCACACGGGCACUGAGACACGGGCCCGACUCCUACGGGAGGCAGCAGUAAGGAAUAUUGGUCAAUGGACGCAAGUCUGAACCAACCAUGCCGCGUGAAGGAUUAAGGUCCUCUGGAUUGUAAACUUCUUUUAUAGGGGGCGAAACCCUUCAUAUCUGUGAAGCUUGACGGUACCCUAUGAAUAAGCACCGGCUAACUCCGUGCCAGCAGCCGCGGUAAUACGGAGGGUGCAAGCGUUAUCCGGAUUUACUGGGUUUAAAGGGUGCGUAGGCGGACUUGUAAGUCUGAGGUGAAAUCUCCGAGCUUAACUCGGAAACUGCCUUGGAUACUAUAGGUCUUGAAUGUCGUUGAGGUCAGCGGAAUAUGUCAUGUAGCGGUGGAAUGCUUAGAUAUGACAUAGAACACCUAUUGCGAAGGCAGCUGACUAAGCGAAUAUUGACGCUGAGGCACGAAAGCGUGGGGAUCAAACAGGAUUAGAUACCCUGGUAGUCCACGCCCUAAACGAUGAUUACUCGACGUGCGCGAUACACAGUGCGCGUCUGAGCGAAAGCAUUAAGUAAUCCACCUGGGAAGUACGUUCGCAAGAAUGAAACUCAAAGGAAUUGGCGGGGGUCCGCACAAGCGGUGGAGUAUGUGGUUUAAUUCGAUGAUACGCGAGGAACCUUACCUGGGCUAGAAUGCGAAUGACCGAUCCUGAAAGGGAUAAUUCUAGCAAUAGACAUGAAGCAAGGUGCUGCAUG